UACGGAGGGUGCAAGCGUUAUCCGGAUUCACUGGGUUUAAAGGGUGCGUAGGUGGGUCUGUAAGUCAGUGGUGAAAUCUCCGAGCUUAACUCGGAAACUGCCAUUGAUACUAUAGAUCUUGAAUUAUCUGGAGGUUAGCGGAAUAUGUCAUGUAGCGGUGAAAUGCUUAGAUAUGACAUAGAACACCGAUUGCGAAGGCAGCUGACUACAGGUAUAUUGACACUGAGGCACGAAAGCGUGGGGAUCGAAACAAGG
rnacentral:rRNA from 1 species